rnacentral:rRNA from 1 species
UACGUAGGGGGCAAGCGUUGUCCGGAUUUAUUGGGCGUAAAGAGCGUGUAGGCGGCCAUGCAGGUCCGUUGUGAAAACUCGAGGCUCAACCUCGAGACGCCGAUGGAAACCGCAUGGCUAGAGUCCGGAAGAGGAGAGUGGAACUCCUGGUGUAGCGGUGAAAUGCGCAGAUAUCAGGAAGAACACCCGUGGCUAAGGCGGCUCUCUAGUACGGUACUGACGCUGAGACGCGAAAGCGUGGGGAGCGAACAGG